rnacentral:rRNA from 1 species
UCCUGCUCAAUGAAAUUUAAAUAGCUGCUAUAUAGUACUAAGGUAGCAUAAUCAUUUGUUUUUUAAUUAAAAUCUAGAAUGAAAGGUAAAACAUUUUAAUUUUUCUAUUUUUUAUAAAAAUUUAAAUUAUACUAAAUAUAAAAAUAUAUUUAUAAAAAAAAAAGACGAUAAGACCCUAUUAAAUUUUACUUAUUUUGUUUAACUGGGGCAGUUAAUUAAUAAAUAUUUUAAUUUAAUAUUUAUUUAAUCAAAUAUCUUUAAUUUUAAAAAUUAAUUAAAUUACUAUAGGGAUAACAGCAUAAUAAUUUUUUUUAGAUCUUAUUAAAAAAAUAAUUUAUGACCUCGAUGUUGAAUUAUUAUAUCUAUUUUAUGCAAAAAUAAAUAAUAGUAAGUCUGUUCGACUUUUAAAAUUUUACA